GUUUCAUUUCACGCACUCUCUCACCGGUUAGAGAGGCGAGAGAGUGUGUGAAAUGAAGAGA
rnacentral:pre_miRNA from 1 species